rnacentral:ncRNA from 1 species
AAAAUAACGAUGACAGGGAAUAGUAAGCUGUCCUUGGGUCACAGAGAACCGCUGGUAGCUGUGAGGCGGUCGAAGAGGCAAGCAGAACUCACCCUGGAGUUGCCGACCGAAAUCUUUUGAAAGUAGGCUCGGACGGAACUUCUACCGUUAAAAGGAAGGGGAUAUCGGGUCUUAAGACCCCGUAUUCUGAUGGAGUGAACGGCAUGGCCGUUAAAUUGAGUGGUACCGCGGAGUUAAACCCUUCGUCUCAGAG